GGCUCACUCCCUCAAUAAAUUGAGUUAAUAUCGUGUGAACCGAUGGUCCACAUAUCAGAUAUUAAACUGAUAAGAACAGAUACUACACUUGAUCUUAGCCAAAAGGCCGAGAAAGGUAUG
rnacentral:sRNA from 1 species